rnacentral:lncRNA from 1 species
UCAGCACCCGCUUCUCUGCGCCCGCCUCCCCCGCGCGGGCCAAUCAGCGCGCGCGCAGCGGCCCAGCCAAUCGCAGCACAGCCGUUGGGGUGUGGGGGGGGAGGCCGUAACGACCCCUCGGGCCGCCCCCGCCCCGCGUCCCCUCACGGGCCGCCGCCUCCCCCCCGCCGCGCUCCCCGCGCACUCACCGGGGCGGCCGGCGCCGCGACCUCCGCCUGCUCCGCCCGCUGCCCGCGCUGCCUCCGGCGCGGCCUGCGGGAGGCGGGGGGGGAAAAGGGGGGCGGCCGAAGCGGAGUGAGCGCCGAGCGGCCGAGAAACAAGAUGGCGGCAGGGCCGUGAGGCGUCGGGGCGGAGGCUCCGCCCUUUUUUGUCCCCCCCCUUCCCCUCCUCGGGCUGGGCCGCGGCGGCGCGCGCGGGCGCGUGACCCAGCGGGGAUCUCGCGAGAGUGGAGACUGGAAGCAGCUGAUAAUCAGAAGAAAAACCCCAAAAGCAGCCCUAAAGGAAGGGGAAGCAAAGGCUGCCUUGACAUUCCCCUCAAAUCCAUCAGUUCUGGAACAACAUCCAACUGGAGUAAUGAGGAAAAAUAGGAAAAGGAUUCCAUCCCAAAGAUUCUCCAGGUGCCUGCCUGGAUCCUCCAAGAUCCCUUCCCCAUGUGACAGUUUCAUCCUGUGGAUCCUCACAAUUCCAUGGAGGAACCUAAGGAAUUUAUUCCCACCCCUGGAUGGAUUUCUGUUGUUAUCCAUGGAUAUCCCUGGCAGUGCAAUCCCAGGGAUCAUCCAGGGACGUUCCUGGCUGAGCUGCUCCCUCAGCACAGGAAGAUUUUCUCCUGCCAUCCUGGAGCUUCUUCAAGCCAAGCAAAAUUCCUGCAGUUUUAUUGGAAGUCUUGAGACUGAGGGCACUUGUAAGGCAGCCAAGAGAAAUAAAAGUCGGGAUCAUGGAGUGAUUUGGGUUGGAAGGACAUUCAGGAUCAUCCAAUUCCACCUCCUUCCCACUAUCCCAGCUUGCUCCAACCUGGAAUUGAAUACUUCCCAGCACCGAGGACGACGAUCCAUCCCCACAAUUCCCUGGAAAACGCCCCAUUUAUUAAUUAAUUACCGAGCACUGCUGCUCCUGCUGCUGCCAGGCCCAGCUGUCCCAGCACCCAGCUUGGAUGCAGCUCCUCUCCAGGGAUUUCUGGACAAUCCCCCCUUGCUCCUCCUCCCGCCGGAUCCUUUUGUGCGGCUCCGUUUCCUCCCCACCUGCUCCCUUUUCCAGCCGCAAUGGAUCCAUUGUCUGGAGCUGCUCGGCUUUUCCCACAGGGAUUGCAGCUCCACAGAGCUCCCUGUCAGCCUGCCCGGAACGUGGAGGAGCCAAGGAAAACAUGAAACAGGGAAGGGAAGAAAAAAAAAAAAAAAAGGAAAGGAGAAAGUGCUUUUGCAGGAAUUUGGUGGCGCUCUGAUGAGUUUGGAUUUACCCAGCACCUUCCAACUGCUCAUCCCAUCCCUCCCAUGCUUCCCACUGCACCCCAGACCUAGAUUUGGGAGCCAAGGAUUCGUCUGGCACCAAGGAAAACCAGCUCGGAGCAGCAGAGACAAGGCUGACCCUUCCCAGCUCAGCCCCUGCCAUCCCCUGGGAUUCCUGUUUCAGCAGGACUCUGGAUUUAUCCCAAACCAGCUGUUGCUUUGGGGCAAUAAUCCACAGGCAUGGGAAAACCUGGAUAUAAAUUCUUUCUGGACAUGGACACACUUGCUUUAUGGAUCUGCAGGAAAAAGAGGCCAUUUAGGGCCAGAUUUGGGGGCCUGACCCUUUGUGCCACAUCCCACCUGGUGCCUGUCCUAGCUGGGAUGAUCCAUAGGGUAUUAAAGGAUAUCUAAGGAUAUUUAGGAAUAUGUCUAUGCCUGGACACUGAUUUGUUUAAACCUUCUGCUCUGAAAUUAAACCUCUGGGAAUAUAUUUUGACCUUUGGGUGUUCCCAAAGGAUUCCUUGAGGGCCCAGAAUUCCUGAGGGAUGAUCCAGGAUCAACUGUGGGCUUGUGGGUCCCCUUUUAUGCUCAGGUUUGAACCUGUGUGCCAGGAAAUUUUACUUUUUCUAAUCCAGAUGGGAAUUCCCAACAGAAUCCUGGUCUCCCUCAUUUUCCCAGCCCUCAUUUCCUAAGGAAGAGCUGACAGAAAACAGGAAAAACCUACAAAACUUUAGGAUCAGCACUGGGAGCUGAGGUGCUCAGCCUGGUGAUGAUUGGGAGGCCUCAUUCCCAAUAUUCCCACUCUGCUGGCAGAGGGGAGAGGAUUUCCCAGGAAUGCACCUCCUGCCCAGUUCAACCCCCUGGCUGUCCCAGUAUCCAGCUGGUGAGCUCUGGUGACCUGAUUGCUCCUGCCAGGAGAUUUUCCAGUGUCUCCACACAGCUCCUGCUCCUGCCAGAACUGGGACACGCCUCUGGCAGGGAGAAGGGAAGGAGCUGACCCAGCUCCAGCAGCUCAUCCUGCUGGGCACUUCCAGAGGGGCCAGGGCUCAUCUCACAGCCAGGACAGGGACUGGCACCUUCCUAGAGCAGGGUUAUUCCAGGGAAUCCCCACUGGGAUUCCCAGUCCUGCCAUAAACCAGCCCCUUUCCAUAACCCUUCUCCAGAUGCAGCUUCUCCUUCCCUGAAUGCAGUUCCAGGACCUCCAGAACAGCCUCAGAGCCUCCAGGACAGCCCCAGGAGCACCCUGGGAAGCUCCAGGAUUCUUCUGGGAAGCCUCAGUCCUCUGGAAAUCUCCAGGACACUAUUGGGAACCCUCAGCAUCCUCCUGGGAAGCCCCAGGA